rnacentral:rRNA from 1 species
GACGAACGCUGGCGGCGUGCUUAACACAUGCAAGUCGAACGGAAAGGCCCUGCUUUUGUGGGGUGCUCGAGUGGCGAACGGGUGAGUAACACGUGAGUAACCUGCCCUUGACUUUGGGAUAACUUCAGGAAACUGGGGCUAAUACCGGAUAGGAGCUCCUGCUGCAUGGUGGGGGUUGGAAAGUUUCGGCGGUUGGGGAUGGACUCGCGGCUUAUCAGCUUGUUGGUGGGGCAGUGGCUUACCAAGGCUUUGACGGGUAGCCGGCCUGAGGGGGUGACCGGCCCCCUGGGGCUGGAGAUGCCGCCGAAACCACAAGGGGGGGAGCCGGGGGGGAAUGUGACAAAAGGGGCCAGGGCUUCAUGCACCCCCCCCCCGGGCGGAAGGACGCCCUCCGGGUUUUAAACCCCUUACACCUGUGAGCAAAGGGGGUUGGAGGAAGUGGGUAAAAAAGCACCGCCAAGCUUCGG